CACAAACUGCUUAGAGGUGCAUAUCUUCUUGUUACAUUAGCACAACACUCGUUGGGAUGUGGGCCCUAUUAUUUCCUAAAGCAGCUAUUAUUGCAGUGGUACCACUGCUUUUAUUGUUGGCCUUCUGACUUGAGGAAAAUGUAAACUGAAAAUAUGCAGACACAAAAAUUACCUCCCACUCAGGAUAAUCGUGCUGUUUGAGGGAUCCCCGAUGAGUUCCUGGCAACACUACCAGACAUCCAUUGCUGCGAUCAAUCCUCUCCAUGGCAGUCCAAGCACAAACAAUGCGAUCUGCAGGUCGGAAUGGGAAAUAGUGCAAAUCCUGAUGCAUUGGAUGGCGAGAGGUCUUCUUCCCUAAAAUGUUAUUAUUUGCAUUAGUUUAACUAUAUAAACAUUAAAUAUUUUAAGCUGA